AGGCGCUCCCCCCCGUGCUCCCGACAAUGGUCUGAGCCGAGCUCUGCUUCCCAAAGCAAAAUUUGUAAUAUGCCAUUUUUCCCAUGGAUGCUUCUCCUCUUGGAUGCUGACGAAGUGACCGAAGAAAAUGCUGAGGUGCCAAGCAGCUAGUCUCGCCGGAGGACGUGUGCGGGGGUUUGGGGUUUCUCGGAGCAACGCCUGUGUCACCAUUGCUAGGAAGAUGGUCCGGGAGUGCUCGGCUGUGUGAGUCCCCGCUCGAAGCCGGUGGAGACUGCGGUUGUUAUUGAUCAAGUGAAAUAGCAGACGCCGAAAUAAAAGCCACUAGAAAUGAUGUGUGAAGUGAUGCCAACGAUAAAUGAGGACACCCCGAUGAGUCAACGGGGGUCCCAAAGCAGCGGCUCGGACUCGGAUUCUCACUUUGAGCAGCUGAUGGUGAACAUGCUGGAUGAAAGGGACCGUCUCCUUGAUACUCUUCGGGAGACACAGGAAAGCUUGUCACUUGCACAGCAGCGCCUACAGGAUGUCAUCUACGACAGAGAUUCUCUCCAACGACAGCUGAAUUCAGCACUGCCUCAGAUGACGGUUGCUGCUGGUACGAGCAUUGAGAAUAACAUUCAAAGGACCAUAUCCUGCCCUAAUGAAUUUGCUGCACUGACGAAAGAAUUAAGUGCAUGCAGGGAACAGCUGCUUGAAAAAGAGGAGGAGAUUUCAGAACUGAAAGCUGAAAGAAACAAUACAAGACUGUUACUGGAACAUUUGGAGUGCCUUGUCUCAAGACAUGAAAGGUCGCUGAGGAUGACAGUGGUGAAGCGGCAAGCACAGUCUCCUUCAGGAGUUUCCAGUGAAGUUGAGGUCCUCAAAGCUCUGAAAUCUCUGUUUGAGCACCACAAGGCUUUGGACGAAAAGGUAAGGGAACGACUGAGGGUUUCUUUAGAAAGAGUCUCUGCACUGGAAGAAGAACUAGCUGCUGCUAACCAGGAGAUUGUAGCUUUGCGUGAACAAAAUGCACACAUUCAAAGGAAAAUGGCAGCUGGUGAAGGGCCUGCUGAAUCAGAGCAUAUUGAAGGAAUGGAGCCUGGGCAAAAGGUUCAUGAAAAGCGCCUAUCAAAUGGCUCCAUAGACUCCAAUGAUGAAGCUAGUCAAGUGGUUGAACUUCAGGAACUACUGGAAAAACAAAACUAUGAAAUGGCACAAAUGAAGGAGCGUUUGGCCGCACUAUCUUCCCGUGUGGGAGAGGUGGAGCAGGAGGCAGAGACUGCCAGAAAGGAACUCAUUAAAACAGAGGAAAUGAAUAGUAAAUAUCAGAGAGACAUUAGAGAGGCAAUGGCACAAAAGGAAGAUAUGGAAGAAAGAAUAACUACGCUGGAGAAGCGCUACCUUAGUGCUCAGAGAGAAUCCACCUCCAUACAUGACAUGAAUGAUAAGCUAGAAAAUGAACUGGCAAACAAGGAAGCCAUCCUCCGUCAGUUGGAAGACAAAAACAGACAGCUGCAAGAGCGUCUAGAACUGGCUGAGCAGAAGCUGCAGCAGACGAUGAGGAAGGCUGAAACCUUACCUGAAGUAGAGGCUGAACUAGCACAGAGAAUUGCAGCUCUGACUAAGUCUGAUCCAACCUCUUCUACCUCAUCUGAUGAUUAUCAAUAUGUUAUGGAAGCUAAACUACAAGAAAUGAUCUCCAUACGUAGGAAGGCAGAAGAAAGACAUGGAAAUAUUGAGGAACGUAUGAGACACUUAGAAGCUCAACUUGAAGAGAAGAAUCAGGAACUUCAAAGAGCAAGGCAAAGAGAAAAAAUGAAUGAGGAGCACAACAAAAGAUUAUCAGAUACUGUAGACAGACUUUUGACAGAAUCCAAUGAGCGUCUGCAGCUACACUUAAAAGAAAGAAUGGCAGCACUUGAAGAAAAGAAUGUUUUGAUUCAAGAAUCUGAAAGUUUCAGGAAAAAUCUGGAAGAGUCUUUACAUGACAAGGAAAGACUUGCUGAAGAAAUUGAGAAACUGAGAUCUGAACUGGAUCAAAUGAAAUUGAGGGCUGGUUCUUUAAUUGAACCCACCCUGUCAAGGCCUCACCUUGACUCAUCAGCAGAGCUGAGGUACUCUGUGGGCUCACUGGUUGAUAGCCAGUCUGACUAUCGGUCAACAAAAGUGAUAAGGCGACCUAGAAGAGGCCGGAUGGGAGUUUGCAGAGAUGAACCGAAGGUGAAAUCACUUGGAGAUCAUGAGUGGAAUAGAAGCCAGCAGAUUGGUGUUUUGAGCAGUCAUCCAUUUGAAAGUGAUACUGAAAUGUCUGACAUAGAUGAUGAUGAUAGAGAAACACUUUUCAGCUCCAUGGACCUCUUGUCACCAAGUGGCCAUUCUGAUGCCCAGACUCUGGCCAUGAUGCUUCAGGAGCAGCUAGAUGCCAUUAAUAAGGAAAUCAGGUUAAUCCAAGAAGAGAAAGAGUCGACAGAACUGCGUGCAGAAGAGAUAGAGAACAGAGUGGCCAGUGUAAGUCUGGAAGGCUUAAAUCUGGCCAGAGUCCACCAAGGUACCUCCAUUACUGGGUCGGUGACAGCAUCGUCACUUGCAAGCUCAUCUCCUCCCAGCGGACACUCAACUCCUAAGCUCACCCCUCGCAGUCCAGCCAGGGAGAUGGACAGAAUGGGAGUUAUGACGCUGCCAAGUGACCUAAGGAAACAUCGGAGAAAGAUCGCAGUAGUUGAAGAAGAUGGACGUGAAGAUAAAGCCACAAUCAAAUGUGAAACUUCUCCUCCUCCAACACCCAGAACUAUUAGAAUGACUCAUACCCUUCCUUCUUCAUACCAUAACGAUGCCAGAAGCUUGCCUGCUUCAUUGGAGCAAGAAAGCAUUGGUCUUGGCAGUGUCAAUAGCAGCCAGGACUCCCUGCACAAAGCUCCCAAAAAGAAAGGAAUCAAGUCUUCGAUAGGACGCUUGUUCGGUAAAAAAGAGAAGGCUCGUCUUGGACAGCUCAGAGGCUAUAUGGAAACAGAGGCAGCAGCUCAGGAAUCUCUGGGAUUAGGAAAACUUGGAACCCAAGCAGAAAAGGACCGAAGACUAAAGAAAAAACAUGAACUUCUGGAAGAAGCUCGGAGAAAAGGUUUGCCUUUUGCACAGUGGGAUGGGCCAACGGUGGUUGCCUGGCUGGAGCUCUGGCUAGGCAUGCCAGCCUGGUAUGUUGCUGCCUGCCGUGCCAAUGUGAAGAGUGGAGCUAUUAUGUCUGCUCUGUCUGAUACUGAGAUCCAAAGAGAAAUUGGGAUCAGCAAUCCUCUUCAUCGCUUAAAGCUCCGAUUAGCAAUCCAGGAGAUGGUAUCACUGACGAGUCCAUCAGCACCUCCAACAUCCAGAACACCCUCAGGCAAUGUUUGGGUGACCCAUGAAGAAAUGGAAAAUCUUGCUGCUCCAGCUAAAACGAAAGAAUCUGAAGAAGGCAGCUGGGCUCAGACCCUGGCUUAUGGUGAUAUGAACCAUGAAUGGAUAGGUAACGAAUGGCUCCCCAGUCUGGGUUUACCUCAGUACCGAAGUUAUUUCAUGGAAUGCCUGGUAGAUGCAAGGAUGUUAGACCACCUGACAAAGAAAGAUCUGCGUGUGCACUUAAAAAUGGUGGAUAGCUUUCAUCGAACAAGCUUGCAAUAUGGAAUCAUGUGUUUAAAGAGGUUGAAUUAUGAUAGAAAAGAACUGGAAAAGAGAAGAGAAAUGAGUCAGCAUGAAAUAAAAGAUGUGCUGGUGUGGAGCAAUGACCGAGUCAUACGCUGGCUCCAAGCUAUUGGCCUCCGAGAAUAUGCAAAUAAUAUUCUAGAAAGUGGUGUACAUGGUUCACUUAUAGCACUGGAUGAAAACUUUGAUUACAGCAGUUUAGCAUUAUUAUUACAGAUUCCAACACAAAACACCCAGGCAAGUUUGCUCACGCUACUUCUGAUUAAUCUGUACAUAUUAUUGCCUUCUAUUCAUAUUCAACCAUUUUAAUUUUUCACUUUGGUAUCUCUAGGCACGUCAGAUCCUUGAGAGAGAAUACAACAACCUUUUAGCACUAGGAACUGAAAGACGACUUGAGGAAAGUGAUGACAAGAACUUCAGACGUGGCCCCUCCUGGCGACGACAGUUUCCUCCACGCGAGGUUCAUGGGAUCAGCAUGAUGCCUGGCUCCUCGGAAACACUCCCAGCUGGGUUCAGACUAACCACAACAUCAGGGCAGUCACGGAAGAUGACAACUGACGUUGCUUCAUCACGACUGCAGAGGUUAGACAGCUCAACAGUUCGCACAUACUCAUGCUGACAAGGCCUAGCAAAGAAGCCAGCACUGAAUUAUUAUGUCAUCUCUUACUUCUACUUUACCUGAAGUGCACUACCACUACUUAGGAAAAAGAGCAUUAAAACUCUCUGCAAGAACAGGGUAAUAGGGAAGAGAACACAUAAGUUUUAUUAAAAGAUAUGAUAUUCCUUUCAUGUAUUGAUUAGUUUAAAACAAGAAUUACUACAAAAAUAAAACAAAACAACCUCCCCGUUUCCUCUCAGCAUCUCUGUCAUCAGAAGUUUGGCAGUAGUGCACAUCCAAAGCUUUUAUCAAAUGAAGCCACUCAUUUUUACAUUGUUCCAUUUGUUUUAUUGUAAAAUACUAAGACAUUUACGUAUUUACUGUGUAUGUAUUUCUUUUAAAAUGUGUAAGUCUUAUGUAAAUGGAUAUAAAUAUGAUUUUUUAAAAAUAAAAUCUAUGGUACAUGGGGUCUCAGUGCAAACACUUGACAAUACAGUGUCAAUAAUACUGUUUGUAUCUUUCCAUUCCACCAUUUUUACAGUUUUUGGAUUGUAACACUCAAAUGAAUAUGUUUAGCAGAGUUAGAAGCUUCAACAUGUUCCUACUGAGAAAAUCUGUCAAUAUUUAAAAGUGAACACCUGCCUCUGAUGAUGUAUAAUAGAAUAACGCAACCUGGAACUGGAGCCAAAAUGGACCUCUAAAACAAAAUGGAAAUGUUAGAUCUCUAUAGAGAAGAAUCAUUAAUUUUAAGAGGCUCACAUCUUAAAAACUAACAAAUAAACCCGGAAGAACCGUUUACAAAAAAAAAAA